UACGUAGGGAGCAAGCGUUGUCCGGAAUCAUUGGGCGUAAAGCGCGCGUAGGCGGCCCGGUAAGUCCGCUGUGAAAGUCGGGGGCUCAACCCUCGAAAGCCGGUGGAUACUGUCGGGCUCGAGUGCGGAAGAGGCGAGUGGAAUUCCUGGUGUAGCGGUGAAAUGCGCAGAUAUCAGGAGGAACACCGAUUGCGAAGGCAGCUCGCUGGGACGUUACUGACGCUGAGACGCGAAAGCGUGGGGAGCAAACAGG
rnacentral:rRNA from 1 species